rnacentral:misc_RNA from 1 species
CACACUCCAAGCGAAGCUUGAUGUUGGGCGAUGCGGACCCCUCUCGGGGAUCGCACGUCUGGAACGCGUAGGCGCCCAGCGGCGGACCACGAGCGUAGCAAGACAUUUUUCGUCAAUUCGUUCCGUGAAGUCCGACGGAGGGCGGCCUCAUACCAUUUCUGUCUCAGAAGU